rnacentral:rRNA from 1 species
AAGGCUGAGGCGUGAUGACGAGGCACUACGGUGCUGAAGCAACAAAUGCCCUGCUUCCAGGAAAAGCCUCUAAGCAUCAGGUAACAUCAAAUCGUACCCCAAACCGACACAGGUGGUCAGGUAGAGAAUACCAAGGCGCUUGAGAGAACUCGGGUGAAGGAACUAGGCAAAAUGGUGCCGUAACUUCGGGAGAAGGCACGCUGAUAUGUAGGUGAAGUCCCUCGCGGAUGGAGCUGAAAUCAGUCGAAGAUACCAGCUGGCUGCAACUGUUUAUUAAAAACACAGCACUGUGCAAACACGAAAGUGGACGUAUACGGUGUGACGCCUGCCCGGUGCCGGAAGGUUAAUUGAUGGGGUCAGCGCAAGCGAAGCUCUUGAUCGAAGCCCCGGUAAACGGCGGCCGUAACUAUAACGGUCCUAAGGUAGCGAAAUUCCUUGUCGGGUAAGUUCCGACCUGCACGAAUGGCGUAAUGAUGGCCAGGCUGUCUCCACCCGAGACUCAGUGAAAUUGAACUCGCUGUGAAGAUGCAGUGUACCCGCGGCAAGACGGAAAGACCCCGUGAACCUUUACUAUAGCUUGACACUGAACAUUGAGCCUUGAUGUGUAGGAUAGGUGGGAGGCUUUGAAGUGUGGACGCCAGUCUGCAUGGAGCCGACCUUGAAAUACCACCCUUUAAUGUUUGAUGUUCUAACGUUGACCCGUAAUCCGGGUUGCGGACAGUGUCUGGUGGGUAGUUUGACUGGGGCGGUCUCCUCCUAAAGAGUAACGGAGGAGCACGAAGGUUGGCUAAUCCUGGUCGGACAUCAGGAGGUUAGUGCAAUGGCAUAAGCCAGCUUGACUGCGAGCGUGACGGCGCGAGCAGGUGCGAAAGCAGGUCAUAGUGAUCCGGUGGUUCUGAAUGGAAGGGCCAUCGCUCAACGGAUAAAAGGUACUCCGGGGAUAACAGGCUGAUACCGCCCAAGAGUUCAUAUCGACGGCGGUGUUUGGCACCUCGAUGUCGGCUCAUCACAUCCUGGGGCUGAAGUAGGUCCCAAGGGUAUGGCUGUUCGCCAUUUAAAGUGGUACGCGAGCUGGGUUUAGAACGUCGUGAGACAGUUCGGUCCCUAUCUGCCGUGGGCGCUGGAGAACUGAGGGGGGCUGCUCCUAGUACGAGAGGACCGGAGUGGACGCAUCACUGGUGUUCGGGUUGUCAUGCCAAUGGCACUGCCCGGUAGCUAAAUGCGGAAGAGAUAAGUGCUGAAAGCAUCUAAGCACGAAACUUGCCCCGAGAUGAGUUCUCCCUGACUCCUUGAGAGUCCUGAAGGAACGUUGAAGACGACGACGUUGAUAGGCCGGGUGUGUAAGCGCAGCGAUGCGUUGAGCUAACCGGUACUAAUGAACCGUGAGGCUUAACCUU